rnacentral:rRNA from 1 species
ACUGGGAUAACUCCGGGAAACCGGGGCUAAUACCGGAUAACACCUACCCCCGCAUGGGGGAAGGUUGAAAGGUGGCUUCGGCUAUCACUUACAGAUGGACCCGCGGCGCAUUAGCUAGUUGGUGAGGUAAUGGCUCACCAAGGCGACGAUGCGUAGCCGACCUGAGAGGGUGAUCGGCCACACUGGGACUGAGACACGGCCCAGACUCCUACGGGAGGCAGCAGUAGGGAAUCUUCCGCAAUGGACGAAAGUCUGACGGAGCAACGCCGCGUGAGUGAAGAAGGUUUUCGGAUCGUAAAACUCUGUUGUUAGGGAAGAACAAGUGCCGUUCGAAUAGGGCGGCGCCUUGACGGUACCUAACCAGAAAGCCACGGCUAACUACGUGCCAGCAGCCGCGGUAAUACGUAGGUGGCAAGCGUUGUCCGGAAUUAUUGGGCGUAAAGCGCGCGCAGGUGGUUUCUUAAGUCUGAUGUGAAAGCCCACGGCUCAACCGUGGAGGGUCAUUGGAAACUGGGGAACUUGAGUGCAGAAGAGGAAAGUGGAAUUCCAAGUGUAGC